UUAACCCUGCAGGAAACAACAAGAGGAGGCUGGGGGCCAUCUGUGCAGCCAGUGUGGACAUCGUCAAAGGCCCUUUUGUGGCUGAGCCUGGCCUGGCCUGGACAAUACCUAAGUUUAUGAGGCAGUCUAUGAGGCCUCUACAAACAAAACACGCUCAAUAAAUGUCAAUUACUGUGGAACCUUCAGCAAAUUACCUCACAUCUCAACCUGCUUCUUGAAAAUGGGGCAGGAGAAGCUUGGGUUCUGCCCAUAUCCAAACACUCCAAAGGGAAAGGACUGUAAUAGGAUGUCUAUAUUUAUUGACAGUGCUACCCAUCACCCAAUUGGAAAUCUAAGUAACUGAAGCCCCACUUGGUUAUCUGACCUGGAGCAGAGACCCUCUCAACUACAUCACAAACGAAUAGUCAUCCAACCUUUAUCUGAACUUCUCGAGUGAUAAUGAAUUCGCUAGGUGGAAAGAGCAAAAGGGCUUGGAUCAGAAGGGAUUGAGUUCAAAUCCAGCCUCAAACACUUAUUAGCAGUGUGACCCUAGGCACUUCACCUGUGUCUGCCUCAGUUUCCUCUACUGUAAAAUAAAGAUUAUGAUAGUACCUACUCUCCAGGCUUGUUAUGAUUUCCUACCCAACUGCACUCACUCUGGACGUCGGUAGAACUCAUUCUAAUCAGCUUCUCCACUCGAAUUCAUUUUGUAUUUCUUCAAAUUCUCUGCCAUGCCCCCACACUGAGUAUCUUCCCUCACCCCUUUUCAGCUUUCUUUUGUAUAUUGUCUU